rnacentral:rRNA from 1 species
GACGAACGCUGGCGGCGUGCCUACUACAUGCAAGUCGAACGCAGUGGGGACGGGUGAGUAACACGUGGGUAACCUCCCAUCAGAGGGGAUAACACUUGGAAACAGGUGCUAAACAGAUACCUAUGGCUGGACCCGCGGUGCAUUAGCCAGUUGGUGAGGUAACGGAUCACCAAGGACACGAUGCAUAGACGACCGUAGAGGGGGGUCGGCCACACUGGGACUGAGACACGGCACAGAAUCAUACGGGAGGAAGCAGGAGUAAAUCUGCGGCAAUGGACGAAAGUCUGACCGAGAAACGCCGCGUGAGUGAAGAAGUUUUUAGGAUCGUAAAACUCUGGUGUGAGAGAAGCGGUAUCUAACCAGAAAGCCACGGCUAACUACGUGCCAGCAGCCGCGGUAAUAC